GAUGAACGCUAGCGACAGGCUUAACACAUGCAAGUCGAGGGGCAGCACGGGAGUAGCAAUACAACUGGUGGCGACCGGCGCACGGGUGAGUAACGCGUAUGCAACCUACCUAUCAGAGGGGAAUAACCCGGCGAAAGUCGGACUAAUACCGCAUAAAACAGGGGCACCGCAUGGUGAUAUUUGUUAAAGAAAUGCGCUGAUAGAUGGGCAUGCGUUCCAUUAGGUAGUUGGUGAGGUAACGGCUCACCAAGCGGACGCUGGAUAGGGGAACUGAGAGGUUGGGCCCCAACACUGGGACGGGGACGCGGACCCGACUGCUACGGGAGGCAGCAGUGAAGAAUAUUGGUCAAUGGGCGGGAGCUUGAACCAGCCAAGUCGCGUGAAGGAAGAAGGAUCUAUGGUUCGUAAACUUCUUUUGCAGGGGAAUAAAGUGCAGGACGUGUCCUGUUUUGUAUGUACCCUGAGAAUAAGGAUCGGCUAACUCCGUGCCAGCAGCCGCAGUAA
rnacentral:rRNA from 1 species